rnacentral:rRNA from 1 species
GAUGAACGCUGGCGGCGUGCUUAACACAUGCAAGUCGAACGAAGCAUUUGCGACAGCUUUUUUCGGGAUGAAGUUGCUUAUGACUGAGUGGCGGACGGGUGAGUAACGCGUGGGUAACCUGCCUUGUACUGGGGGAUAGCAGCUGGAAACGGCUGGUAAUACCGCAUAAGCGCACAAUGUUGCAUGACAUGGUGUGAAAAACUCCGGUGGUAUAAGAUGGACCCGCGUCUGAUUAGCUAGUUGGUGAGAUAACAGCCCACCAAGGCGACGAUCAGUAGCCGACCUGAGAGGGUGACCGGCCACAUUGGGACUGAGACACGGCCCAGACUCCUACGGGAGGCAGCAGUGGGGAAUAUUGCACAAUGGAGGAAACUCUGAUGCAGCGACGCCGCGUGAGUGAAGAAGUAAUUCGUUAUGUAAAGCUCUAUCAGCAGGGAAGAUAGUGACGGUACCUGACUAAGAAGCUCCGGCUAAAUACGUG